CAGCCGCCGCGGUAAGACAGAGGAUGCAAGCGUUAUCCGGAAUGAUUGGGCGUAAAGAGCUCGUAGGCGGUCUGUCGCGUCUGGUGUGAAAUCCCGAGGCUCAACCUCGGGCUUGCAUCGGGUACGGGCAGACUAGAGUGCGGUAGGGGAGACUGGAAUUCCUGGUGUAGCGGUGGAAUGCGCAGAUAUCAGGAGGAACACCGAUGGCGAAGGCAGGUCUCUGGGCCGCAACUGACGCUGAGGAGCGAAAGCAUGGGGAGCGAACAGGAUUAGAUACCCCAGUAGUCCCUGUCUCUUAUAC
rnacentral:rRNA from 1 species